rnacentral:lncRNA from 1 species
CCGGCGAGCGUGCACACAGGCAUGGGAAGGAAAGGGGAGAAGAGAGGAAGGGGAGGAGGCUUACCUCCGAUGCCGGCGAGGCUUUUUCGGCGAGCAAUUGGAUGGGCACAGGGAUGGGUCUCCGCGGUGGUUUUCUGGCGAUUGCCGUCGAUUGGAUCUCAGGUCUUUGGUGGAAGGGAGAGAGGAGGGAUCUCCUCCUUAAAUAGAGCUAAAGGGGGCUCUUUUCCGACUCCGAUUGGGAGCUGGCGAGAGGAGGAAGAAGACUCCCUUCGGGAGUUCUUCUCCUCUAUUUUUUUUUGUUUGGACUUUGGUAGGUUGGGAUUCUUACUCGGGCUGGG